ensembl:lncRNA
UUAAACUUGAAAGUAUAAUUAUGCAAUAAAAACAAACUGCCAUCACCUGCUAAUGAAUGUCUGACCAUCUUUUCAUUUUACGUCAUUGUUAAAUUGGAGUUACCCCACGUAAAUAGCAACGAAUGAGAUAUAGAAUAAUAGUAUGCGUUUUUGAAUAAAAUAUCACAUUAGAAUAAACACAUCGUUCUACUUUGCUUGAAAUAUAAAUCUCAUCAUAUAUAAAAUUAGAUACAUAUAGAGUGUUAGUCCAUUAAAUAAAUUGCGAUGUUUAAAUUUCAUAGUUAAUCAUUGUGAAUUGCCGGCGCUUUGAGCCGUAUCGCGGCUGAAAUGUGCCGCAGAUUAACUGUACAGCUCGUGGGUACGUGUGCGUUUUUGUGAAAGCGCGUUCCUUGUGUGCAGCACAGCACAUGUGUUCAUCUGCUGCUUCGGGCCUGUUUUUCAGUUCGUCGCGAUCCCUCGGACUUUACAAGGAGUCAUAAACGGCCAUAAAAUUCUCUCUCACACACACACACACACACACACACACACACACACACACACACACACACACACACACACACACACACACACACACAUAUAAACACACACGCCCGAAGCCAUGAAGCCAUAAAGCAUCCGUCUGACUUCUUCUGGUUUAAUUGUCGAUAACCUCUGAAGUUUCUCGGAUUCAUGGAGUUCCUACAGCUCUGAACUGUUUCCAUCCCGGUGGCUGCGGCCGCUCCACCGGGUUGCAGUGGAUUCACGGGAUUCAUGGCGCCUCUCAUUAAGUAAAACAUGUUAUGCAACUAAAUUAAAACAAACGGAAAACUGAAAAAACCUGUUAUAAUAAUUUAUAUAAUAAUUUAAAUGAAUAUAUUUAUCAAAGUUAUUAUUGGCAUUAACAUCAAUAACGUUAUAAAAAUAAUCCAAACUCUAAAGCUUCUAAAAAAUGUUAUUGUUUAAAGUAUUAGUAGCACUAGUAGGAUGAGUUGCCUAUCACUAAUUAUUUGAAUUAUCAUAUUUCACCUCAAAAUGUAAAGUGCUGCUCAUUUGGCGCUGUCCCAAACUGUC